CUGGGACACAGUCAUGCACCACCAUGCCUGGCUAAUUUUUAAAAUUUUUUGUAGAGAUGGGUUUCUCUUUAUGUUGCCAAGCCUGGCCUCAAAGUCUUGGGCUCAAGCAAUCCACCCUGUUCGGCUUCCCAAAGUGAUGAGAUUGCAGGCAUGAGUCACCACAUCCAGCCUCAAAUGCUUUUUUGUACUUUAAUGAGAUCAUAUAUUUUUAUUAAUAUGGUGAAUGAUACUGGUUAUUUUUUACAUUUUAAAUUCACUUUGCAUUCAUCAUAUAAACCCCACUUGGUCAUGGUGCAUUACCCUUCUUAUAAAUUGCUGGACUUAAUUUGCUUAUACCGUGUUAAGGAUUUUUGAAUGUAUGAUUAGGAGACAUAUUGAACUUAAGCUGCGUGGACUUAGAAUUUUCUUUGUGGAAUCGAUCAUCGUGGCAGACAGGAGGCAGGAUUAGAUUGCAGCUCUGACUCAGAGCAGCGUGCGGAGGCUCGCAUUGUGAAUUUUAGCUCCAGAUAAACUUCAAGAACAAACCAGCAAUCCUGAGAGGACCCACAGACCCUCUGAAAAAAGCGGACUGUUCCUGCAACACCCAGGAGACACCCCAAAUACUGUGAGUGACCCAACUGCGGAAGCGGGAAAGGGAGAUCCUCCUCUCCUGAACACACACCCCCACUGGAGAAACUGAAGGUCUGUUUGUGGGAGAGGUUUCUGACCUUACCUGGAGCUGAGUCAAUUUAGAGGGCCAAGCAAAAUACAGGGAGGAAGCAGCAGGUGGGAUCUCGCUGGGUUCCCAAGCAAGUCAUUCCUGCCUGGCACCACAGGGAUCCUCUGGGAGGCAGCCAGAGGAGUAGGGGGAAAUCACCACAGGGAAGAAGGUCUCCAGCUGAACUUUGUAACAAUUUGAACUGGGCAAGAAGCUGAAUCCGGUGUGCAACCUCCACAGAUGAAGAAUCUGAGGCACAAAGAGGUCAACUGGCUUGCCCAAGGGUACUUGGCAGAAGGUGAGCUCUGAUAUAGUGCUUUAGUGCACGGACUCAGAAAGUGGAUGAGCUAAGACAUUCAUGAAGCUGUGUAAGAGAGAAAGGCUCAUCACCUUUGCAGAUGACACAAGCCUUUUAUGCGGGAAUCAAAGAAGAACAUGAGAGGCCAGAACACCGGAUUGAAACCAGCAAUUUGACCUUUAAAAGGUUUCCUGAGUUUCUUCUUUCUCAUCUGGAAAUUGGAUAUGCUGCAUCAGUUUCACUGGCUGUUGUGAAUGACCUGGUCUAUUGUCAACAAAGCCCUCAGAAGUCAGGCAGGAUUGUCUCUCAUGACCUAGAUCAAGACUGACACUAGAAGAAAUAUUUUAAAAAAUUACUUGAGUGGAAGAAUAUGAUAAUACACAGGAACUUGGAUCCACAAAAAGAAAGAAAGUUCUUCAGAAACAGCUAAAAAGAAACUAUCAGAAAUCUCUUGCCUGGAUUAUAGAAACAACACUUGGAAGCCUCAUUUCAGUGAUUGCAGCUUUUGCCCUUAUAUCCGUCCAACUGCACUGAAGCCAAGUUUCUGCAGAACUGGAAGACUGGUUUCUGGGAACCUGGUGAUUGGUCAGUCCAAGUCCAAAGUGGUUGCUCUUCAUGGAUUUGCACAAGUAAAUAUCAACAUUUCAGGCCAACAUUACUUUGUGAAUGCCAAUCCCUGGGCAUAAAUUUUUUUCCCAGCCCCUAUGUUCUUCCCUACCACCAGCCCGACUCAGCACCUGGUGAAAUCUCACUCUGGCUUCCAGGUCCAGCUCAUAUACUUCCUCCUCUGUGCAUCCUUCCCUCACACCCACCCUUCUCCAGUGCAGUUCAUUAUGUCCUCUGCAGUGUACACAGAGGACAUACAUCCCUCUAACAUUGUGGUUACCCUGCUGUGUGCUGAAAGCCACCCUGGUAUCUGCUUGUUUCUCUCUUUUGCACUUGAUGAAAUAUUCACAGGUGGUCACAGUCUCAGUCACCACUGUUUUCAGUAUCAAGCUUGGUGCUGAACAAUUGCUCAGUAAAUGUCCAUCAGAUGAACAGUGGGUACCUACUUGGGAAAACAUAAUAAAAUGUAUUUGUCCUAUCACCUAACUUUAUUUACAAAGGAAUUUUAAAUAGAAUCAUAAAGCGUCAGAAUAGGAAAGAAACCAUGAAGUCACCAGAGGAAGUGGUGGUAACUGUUUCCCAGUGAAAAUCCCCAAAUAGGUUUAUGUGGGCAAAUGAGAAGGAACCUUGGAAAGAUUCCACUGGAAGGCAUUUUGAUUUCCCAGAGUGGGCUGGCCCCUGUAAUGCAAACACAGAUCUGAUCAUGAGCUCUGAGCCGAGCAGACUUGCUCUUUUUGAACCUCCUCCUGCUAGGAUUCCUUGGGCCCUUCAAGGGGCACUCCCAGACUAGGGUAACAGGGGUUUCUCCCACUACAGAAGUGUGGAAUAUUAUGGAAUACUAUAAAGUGACUCUGUUCCCUCCAACCCCUUCACUUCCCGCUUACCUCUCCAUCCACUCUGCCCCCAUUGACUGAUUUCUUCUGGUUCUGAGGAAGUCUCUCCUCCUGACUCAGGAUCAAGGCCAGUCUCAGGCCCUGCACCACCAUCAUUCUCCAUGCCACAGGAGCACCCUCCACUCCUAGGCCCUGCGUGUGGUGGCUGAUCACUACAUGCUUAGCUGGGCCUAGCACAAUGCUGACGCAGGGACAUAUCCUUCUUCACUCUCUGGCAACCCCCUGGACGCAUCUGCCCUUUCAGGAUUUUGUUUCUGACAGUCUACCUCCAGCUGGCUUCUUUUCACUAGUUUCAGCAGAUUUAGGCUGGGUCUAGGUUUAGGGCUCCUGAGAAGUCUCAUUCCCCCUUCCUUCCCUGUGGGAAGGCCGUUUCUUACUUCCUACUGAAGAUGAGAUGUCUUCUCUAGAUUUUAUAGCUCAAAUGUCAAAUAAGGUGGGGUUUAGGCCUUGGGAUCAGCAUGAGGAGAUUUGACUGCCCUCGUUUCCCUCAUUCAAAGCUGUGCGGGUGUCCCCAGGAGCUUGCACCAGCUCUGCCCCAUCUGAGAAUUCCCUUCUGAUUCUCUGUUCAACUUCUUCCAAUUAAUGUGCUCAGGUUGUGAAUAUCACUAUGGGGCUUAAAGCAGUUAAAUUCUUCAAAACAGCUUUUGACUUUUAGCUUCUGGGUUCUCAAAAGUCCCCCAACCCCACCAGCUCCAGGCCCUUAUAUGCAGUUUUUACCCCAUUUAUACACUGCCGUCUGAAACACAGCAGAAAUUGCAUUCAUCCCUCAGAGAGUGUGAAUGUUUUGAGAAAAUUACUCAGCAUUUAAAUGUCAAGAUAAUCAAGACCACACAGCCACAAAUAAUUACAUAAGGAUAGAGAAGAGGCAUCUCCACUACCCAGGCUGCCAGGGCCCUUCCCAGGGCCAGGGAGUCCAGCCCACACGUUUCUCAGGUAAAGAGGAAAUAAACAGCAGCAAUGGACCACGGCCCUACCCCCCAUGGAAGCUCCCCCUGACCUCUCCUGAGGUCUCAUCUGAGGCCCAUAAGUACUUAGACUGGAUGGAUAUCUCACCCUCAUAAAGCCCUCCAUGGCAAUCAGUUUUAUUUUGAAAAUUGUUCUACAUCUCCCCUCUGCUAAGACUUGAAAAAAAAAAAAAAGGAAAAUGCUUAAGGAAAUAUUGCAAUGCUCUUUGAGUCCUGAUGAAGCAGCCAUACUAAUUCACUUCUUCCUUGUGGGAGGUGGUGAAACACCACACAGCUGCUCAAAGCCUAUUUUGGAAGUGGAUGCUGGAGAGCAGCAGCCCCUGGGCACUCCCUCCUCUGAAGGCCUUCACUGUGUUUCAAAUGAAUUGGAGGACUUGAUUCAAGCAGGGAGAUAUUUUCCUGAUUUGUUUUUUAGUGUCAGGGCACUGGCAGCAACUGGAGAUGUUUAAAUUGUGAGACAUCAGGAAGUGAGAGCAUGAGUACUUACACAUAGAUUGGGGGAAGACUCCAACCACAGGAUUUGCAUUUAGAGAGAGGGCUGGGACUAAGAUAUCUGGAUUCCACAGGACCAUUUCUAUUUCAGAGAGAUAUCCUCCUAAUUAAUUUCUUUACAAAUAAAGAGCUGUCCUUAUCCUAAUUAUUAAAAGUGAAGACAGAAACACACUUAUGGCAGGGCGCGGUGGCUCACACCUAUAAUCCCAGCAGUUUUGGAGGCUGAGGUGGGCGGAUCACCUGAGGUUAGGAGUUCGAGACCAGCCUGGCCAACAUGGUGAAACCCCAUCUCUACUAAAAAUACAAAAAAUUAACUGGGCUUGGUGGUACACACCUGUAGUCCUAGGUACUUGGGAGGCUGAGGCAGGAGAAUUGCUUUAGCCUGGGAGGCAGACAUUGCAGUGAGCCGAGAUUGCACCACUGCACUCCAGCCUGGGCAACAGAGGAAGACUCUGUCUCAAAAAAAAAAAAAAACAAAAACAAACAAACAAAAAACAAAAAAAAAACAAAAGAAAGAAAAGAAAAAGAAAAACCCCCCAAAAACGAAACAAAACAAAACAAAAACACUUACGAUGUUCUUGUCAUGGUAAUUGAUAUAAAUUGUCACCUUGCCAAGGUGCCAAGCUCCAUCCUGCACACAGUGGGGAGAUAGCACUCCCACAAGCUCAGACCAAGAUCAGCUAAAUAGGGUACAUGCAAGUCAAUGGCAUCUUGGCAGCUGAGACAGUAGGUGCAUGGGGCAGUCAGAGAGAGUGAGAACUGAGCCUGGUGGUGAGUUGUCUAGGAAAUCAGCAGUCCAUCUACAUAAGGAAUCCACCCUCUAUGACUUUACUGCCUCAUGCACGAUAUUACAUCCUUUAAGGAAGCCUUUAAUUCAUCUAUUGUCAAAACAGUGAAGGCUCAUAAAACUCUUACAGCCCAUUCACACAACUUCUCUUUGAGAAUGCAGCUGGGCACUGAUUUGGUUGAUGGUGUCUGUCUUGAAGCUUCCUAAUCAGACUGCAAAUCUCCCCAUUAGCUCAUCAAUGACCAUGUUACAAAAUCUAUAAGUCAUUUCCCGGGCCUUGUCCUACUUGACCUAUCAGCAGCAUUUGACCUAGCAGACCAUGUGCUUUCCAGGAUACCAUAGUCUCCUGAGUUGGCUCGCCCCUUUUUAUGUCAUUCUUCUUCAUGGAGCUCUCAUUAACCUGAGCUCUAAAACAUUGCAGUCUCCUGGUUCUUAUAAUUCAUAGACCUCUAAGGUGCUGCAUGGAUUUACACUAGGGGGCACAUUCACAUAGAUAUCUUGGUGCUAUCUGGAGUUCUGCAAUGCCCAGUUAUUUACUAAACCAUUGCUGAAGCAUGAUCAUAGACCAAUCAAUGCUGGUCUACCAACUGUUUGCUGCCAGCUCACAACAAGACAAGGACAGAUAUUGAGAGCACUUAUUUAGAAACAUUUAGAGCAAAGUGACAGUGUUGCUGCAUCCACACUACCCCAGUUAGACUCUUCUAGUGUUCAUGAUCUGAUCAGGUACAGACCAGUUUGGGCAUUGUUGAACUCGUGGAGAGACACACGUGAUGUGAGCUGUGUACCGGGCAUGUGAAAUAGGAUAGAGUGUGAUAUUUUCACUUAAAUUAGUCGAGUGAAAGUACAUAAAAUCUGAAUCCAUGUCUUUUAUGGAAAAAUAAUUUCAAUAAAAAAUAAGUAACCCAACUGUAGUUAAUAAUAUUGUAUUGGAUACUUAUAAUUUACUGAGAGUAGAUCUUAAGUGUUCUCACGCACACACAAAAAAAGAUUAUUGUGAGGUGAUGAAUGUGUUAACUAGUUAACCUGCUUGUAUUAAUCAUUUUACAAUGUAUAGGUAUAUUAAAUACCAUGUUGUACACUUUAAAUAUAUACAAUUUUAUUUGUCAAUUAUACUUCAAUAAAGCUGAAAAAAUAUAAUUUAAAUCAACUAACAUGUUAUAGGAUAUGUCAUUGAAUGUGGCUGCUGCUGAAGAAUUGAAGAUGGAUAUUGAAAAUAUAACUUUCAUUUUACAUAAAGGCUAAAUAUGAAUAUCUUGAGCCUAGAGAAUUUGCUUUAAAAUUCUUUCUUCCAUACCCAUCAACCUAUCUCUUCUACCAUGAGUAAUAGUAAAACAAAACAUAGAAAUAAUUUAGGUACACCUUGUCCUCAAUAAGUACUCUUGUCAUCAAUCCAACUUAGAUAAGUUAACAAGGAAGAAGCAAAUUCAUUUGUCCCUUUAAAAAGUUAAAUGUUGAUAUACAGUGAAUGUUCAAAAUGUGUGUAGAGAUUUUGAAAAUGUGAAAUCACUGUCUCAUUCUUAAUGUUUUGCUUAGCUGUAUUUCAAAAGGAUAAAAAAUAAAUGCAAUGCUGUCACUAAUCACCUAUAUGCAUAAUUUCAAUGAGCAAUGCACAGUUUUGGUAAUUUUUUUCUACAUUGUGCUUUUCCUGAUUAUAUUAUUGAAAUGUAUUUUCAUAUCUGUUGAAUAUAUUAAUACAAAUUUGGGCUUGCAUUUUAUAUGUAUUUAUUUUUAUUUCAUUUUCUUUUUCUAGUAAUUUAUUUUAUUUUUACAGAAGUGUCAGACUGCAGUUGACUAGAAACUAACACACACACAGAUACACAUUUAUAGACCUCAGAGGCAAUGCAGCCCUGGAAUUGUGCUAGUCCUUCUAUUUUCUAUGUAUACUUACACUCAUGAUGAUAUCAUCAAAUUUCAUGUCCUUAAAUUCCAUCAAAAUGCCAAUGACUUCCAAAUGUGUCUCUUCAGCCCAGACUUCUCCCCUGAACUCAGCUUUGCUUGUCCAAUUGCCUACUUGACAUUUCCACUAGGAUGAGUAACCAAUCCAAAACUGAACUUUUGAUCUUCCCCUAUUCCCACUCAGGAUGCUCUCCUUGUGCAAAACUUCGUCAUCUCAGUAAAUGAAAAGAACAUCUUUCUAGGAGCUCAGGCGAAACGCUCAAGAGUCGUAGUUGACUCUUCUCUUUUUCUCACAGUUCACAUCUAGUCUCUAUUGAAAUUAUCUUGGCUCCACCUACGAAAUACAUCCAGAAUUUAACCACUUCUCACCACCUCCAUUUCCAUUAUGCUAAUCCUAGCAUGUAUCCCCCGUGUCUGGAUUACUGCAAUGAUCUCCUAAACAAUCUCUCUGCUUUCAUUCUGUCUUCCAGUCUCUUCUCAGCUGAGCAGCUAGAAUGAACACUUCAAAGCAAAAGACACUAUGUCACUUCUCUGCUCAAAUCAUUCCAUCUGACUCAGUCUAAAAGUCAAUUGCAAUGACCUUUCAUACCAUGGGUGGUCUGCUCUCUUCCUUUGUCCACUAGGACCCAACCACACUGGCUUCCUUAUUGUUCAUCACAUGCUUCUGCCUUGGGGGCUUUGCACUCAUUGUUUCCUAUUUCUACACUCUUUUUUUUUUAAUUUAAUUUUUACUUUAGAUUCAGGAGGUACAUAUGCAGGCUUAUCACAAGGUUAUAUUGUGUGAGUCUGCAGUUUGGGCUUCUAUUGAUCUUGUUACCCAGAGAGUGAACACAGUACUAAUAGAAAGUUUUUCAGCCCUGCGUCCCUCCCUUCUCCCAUCUUUUGGAGUCCCUCAUGUCUGUUGUUUUCGUCUUUAUGUCCAUAUGUACCCAAGGUUUAGCUCCCACUUGUAAAUAAGAACAUGUGAUAUUUGGUUUUCUGUUAAUUUGCUUAGGCAAAUGGCCUCCAGCUGCACCCAUGUUGCUGUAAAACACACGAUUUCAUUUCUGGUACAUUAUUGACCAACAGAUCCCCUUAGCUUGCUCUCCAGUCUCCUACAGGUAUUUGCCUAAAUGUCAUCACCUCAGUGAGGCUUUUUAUUUUUAGAACCUACGUAAAUUUGCAUCCCUCCGGCUUCACCUCUUCCCUUUUCCUGCAGUAUUUUUCUCCACAGAACUUAAUACUUUCUAAUACACUGUAUAAUUUACUUUUUAAAGCUUGUCACUAGAAUAUAAGCUCCACAAGGGUAAGAAUUUUAUAUCUUUUGUUCAUUGCUGACUUCCUAGCAUCUACAACAGAGGUUAAAACUCUAAUAAGUACGCGCCCUUCUAAUUAUGAGAUCUGUUAUUUGACUGUGAGCCCCUGAUGAGGAGAUGAAACGCACUGCAACAUUUUGACUGCUCUGCUUACCCCAGUGCCAUGCAAAGAACAAGGAUUCAUGCAUACUUAUUAAAAAAAUGAAUCAAGUCUGUCUGGGAACAUUGCAAAUAAUAAGAAUGUACCACCAGACCUCCUGGUUCCUAUUAUCUCAUUUUGAAGAUGAGACAUCUGCAAAGUCAAAAGAUUUCUCUGGAUGUGAGAGACAAACAGUAACUUCUGUGUAGUUCUGGGAAGGAGGCAUCAUAGAGCAGGUGUGUUUUGAGUUCCAGUCCUCAGCAAGAGAGAGAGAAAAAAGAUUACUCAUAGAGAGGUAGGAAAAGGUUUUAAUAAAGUAUAAUUUCCAAGAAUUUGAGUAAGUUCUCUUAGGCCUAAUAUCCCUUUCCAACUUUGAGGACUUGCCCUACUGUCAGAAAUCUCCACAUUUUCUUUACUCUUCUAAAAAGUAACAUCUAGAAGUGAAACUUCUCGCCCCCAUGAGAUUAAAAUUAUAUCAA
rnacentral:tRNA from 10 species